rnacentral:rRNA from 1 species
UACGAAGGGUGCAAGCGUUAAUCGGAAUUACUGGGCGUAAAGCGUGCGCAGGCGGUUUUGUAAGUCUGACGUGAAAUCCCCGGGCUCAACCUGGGAAUUGCGUUGGAGACUGCAAGGCUGGAGUCUGGCAGAGGGGGGUAGAAUUCCACGUGUAGCAGUGAAAUGCGUAGAGAUGUGGAGGAACACCGAUGGCGAAGGCAGCCCCCUGGGUUAACACUGACGCUCAGGCACGAAAGCGUGGGGAGCAAACAGG